UACGGAGGGUGCGAGCGUUGUCCGGAAUCACUGGGCGUAAAGGGCGCGUAGGCGGCCUGAUAAGUAGGGGGUGAAAUCCUGCGGCUUAACCGCAGGGCUGCCUUCUAAACUGUCAGGCUAGAGCACGGUAGAGGCAGAUGGAAUUCCCGGUGUAGCGGUGGAAUGCGUAGAGAUCGGGAAGAACAUCAGUGGCGAAGGCGGUCUGCUGGGCCGUUGCUGACGCUGAGGCGCGACAGCGUGGGGAGCAAACAGG
rnacentral:rRNA from 1 species